GCCUUGGAAUAGCUCAGAUGGUAGAGCAUGAGAUUCUUAAUCUCAAGGUCAUGGGUCUGAGCCCCAUGUUGGGCA